GAUGAACGCUGGCGGCGUGCCUAAUACAUGCAAGUCGAGCGAACGGACGAGAAGCUUGCUUCUCUGAUGUUAGCGGCGGGCGGGUGAGUAACACGUGGAUAACCUACCUAUAAGACUGGGAUAACUUCGGGAAACCGGAGCUAAUACCGGAUAAUAUUUUGAACCGCAUGGUUCAAAAGUGAAAGACGGUCUUGCUGUCACUUAUAGAUGGAUCCGCGCUGCAUUAGCUAGUUGGUAAGGUAACGGCUUACCAAGGCAACGAUGCAUAGCCGACCUGAGAGGGUGAUCGGCCACACUGGAACUGAGACACGGUCCAGACUCCUACGGGGGGCAGCAGUAGGGAAUCUUCCGCAAUGGGCGAAAGCCUGACGGAGCAACGCCGCGUGAGUGAGGAAGGUCUUCGGAUCGUAAAACUCUGUUAUUAGGGAAGAACAUAUGUGUAAGUAACUGUGCACAUCUUGACGGUACCUAAUCAGAAAGCCACGGCUAACUACGUG
rnacentral:rRNA from 1 species